rnacentral:rRNA from 1 species
CAACUUGAGAGUUUGAUCCUGGCUCAGAACGAACGCUGGCGGCAGGCUUAACACAUGCAAGUCGAGCGCCCCGCAAGGGGAGCGGCAGACGGGUGAGUAACGCGUGGGAACGUGCCCUUUGGUUCGGAACAACUCCGGGAAACUGGAGCUAAUACCGGAUAAGCCCUUCGGGGGAAAGAUUUAUCGCCAAAGGAUCGGCCCGCGUCUGAUUAGCUAGUUGGUGGGGUAAUGGCCCACCAAGGCGACGAUCAGUAGCUGGUCUGAGAGGAUGAUCAGCCACACUGGGACUGAGACACGGCCCAGACUCCUACGGGAGGCAGCAGUGGGGAAUAUUGGACAAUGGGCGCAAGCCUGAUCCAGCCAUGCCGCGUGAGUGAUGAAGGCCUUAGGGUU